rnacentral:lncRNA from 11 species
UUCAACACAAAAAUGCUGGACCAUUCUAACAACUAUCAUGUCAGACUACACAGAGAAGCCAUUGAAAUCCACAAGCAUGUGGACAACUUCAACAGAAAGGAAGAAACCAUGAAAAUGAACAAAAUCUGGCUACCAGUAUUAAAAAACUCAAGAAUCAGAACAGUAAAUAAAAAGCAAUACUCUAAAAACAGAGGAUUUCCAGACAUGAAUCAACCUAGGGCAGUUAACGACUCUAAACAAAGGAUGCCCCAGAGGCAGGAAGAAGACAGCAGAUAAGCUUUUCAAUGCUAAUUAAAGUGAUUAACUACACACAUUCACACUGACCUCUCUCACCCUAGACUUUCCACAGAUAUAUAUUUACCUCUUUGCUUAGUUUUCUCCAUACCUCACAACCUCUGAGGAUGCCUGCCAUAGAUGUGGGCGAAACGUCAGGAGAGAAUGCUUCUGGAACAUGGCCACACAGCCCGAAAGACACACAACAACCCUGUGAUCCUGGCCAUGAAAGCCUUCGACAACACAAAUCCAUAUCUUAGUUUCCUUACAUUAUUACUGUGUUGUGUUACUGUUUCUCAUUCCCUAAUUUAUGUGUUUUGCAUCACUUCGCUCUUGCUACUCUAGCUUUUCUAUUUUUAUAUGAAAGAAAAAAUAAGUAGAGAGAUAUUGAUGGAAUUUUUAUGAGCAUACUUUUUUUCUUUUUCAAGAGCGUGGAAGAGUUUGUGACUUGUCUUGAUGUUGCUGCAGAUGCUUGUGAUAUUAUGGCGAAAAGGGGAGAUAAAAAGAAAGAAAGGCAAAUCCUGUUCCAACAUAGGCAGGCUCUGAUUGAACACCUAAAAGUGACAGAGGAUCCCGCUCUUGUUCUCCACCUGACAUCUGUCUUGCUGUUCCAGUUCACAACACACUGCAUGCUACAUGCACCAGGACGAUGUGUGCCACAGAUCAUUACUUUCUUGAGUACAAAAAUCCCAGAGGAUCAACAUUCUCUUCUCAUCAAAUACCAGGGGUUAGUAGUGAAACAGCUGAUAAGUCAGAAUAAGAAGAUUGGUCAAGGUGACGACGAUUCAGUGGAUAAUAACUUGGACACAGAAGAGAACAUUGAAGCAAUCCGAAAAGAACUGCAAGAACUCUCUGCCUCUGUCAAAGAUCUUGUUCUGAGGCCCAGGAAAACUUCUGUAACAGAAGAAUGAUAAUAAAAUUCAUUCAGGAUUUUCAGAGUCAGAAUAUUUUCUUUGCAAAGAACUGGGAUGAGGAUGUGUGAAAUUGUCUUGUUCUUUAGAAAAAAAUUGCAUCUUUUAGCACUGUAAUUCAAAACACAGCGACUACUGGUUAUAUCAUGAGUGUAAACAUGAAUUUAACAGUCUUAAAAAGACAAGGCAAAUAACUAUAAGAUAAUGUUGUUGGUUGUUGUUUAUUUUUAUUUUUUUUAAAAAAAAAGUUGAAUGUUAAACUGUGGACUCAAUAUCUUAGGUGAGAAUUCUCUGUGGGCCAUGGGUGUCAUGUCGAUCCCAAAGGCUAGAAGUCAAAAUUAUUAGAGCUCACCCUCUUUCAGAUUUCAUUCAGUUUUGUUUGGAAAUCUGUUUGAAACUUGGAAAAUUUCAAAAUACAUCAGAUACUUUAUUAUAAUUAUUUUCUUGAAUGAGUGUGUGAAUUCACAUGUAUCCACAUUUUCAUACAUUCAGUUUUCAAACAUUGAAAUUACACGUAGCCUCUGUCAAAUUAGAAGUGUCUGUGGCUCAUAAUGCUUGCCCUGAGAGAAAAUGGGGAGACAGCAUUUGCCAAUUCCACCCUUGUUUUUGCUCUUCGCUUCCAGUGGUUCCUUUCCACAGUCCUCCAGAGCAAAUUGACAGGGAACAUAUACAUGGAGAAGGCAGAAUUAGUAAGGUUAAUAUCUUUCCUUGUCCAGACAGCAAAAAAUCUUUCCUUGGAUCAAAAGCCCCCUGCUUUUUGUCAUUGUGUCUGCAAGGCCCUUUCUGAAUUCAGCCCAAUGUCUCUGGGUUACAUGUUUUUCUUCCCAAAUUACUAACAGAUUUAAAUUAAAAUGCCCCUGGUUGCCUUUUUGUGAUACAAGUCCCUCCUACCCCAAUGCUCUGCAAAGGACUUGUGUUAAACUAGUUUGAUGCUUUAUCUUUUCAACUUGUUACAUUGUAUAAUAUUGUAACCUUUAAAAUAUUUAUUCACAUUUUAAAUGGUCAUUUUAGUUUUUGUUUUUUAGAUAUCUGGUUAGAGGCUGGCAUAUAAAUGUUUAAAUUAAUUAGUAUUACAGUAACCAUCAUAUGGCCCAAAGGAAUGUUGUUGUUAAGGACAAAAAAUGGAAUGCCAAAGAGGCUGACUGUUACCCUCAAAUUCUUCCAAAGAUUUCAGAUACUGUAUUCAACUGUUCCGUAUAUUGAACAGUUCAUGUUUCUUAAGGGAUGAGAAAAUAUUUUUGGUCCUUAUGGUAAGAGAAUUAUUAGAAAAGCUCCUCAAAGGAGUAAUAUAUGAUAUAUCAUGUAUCUUUUUGUUUAAAUAACGGGAGUCUUAAAUAAAAUCUAUGCUCACCUUUUACUACUGUGAUUUUUAGAACUAUUUUCCUCUUUUGAUCUGCAGAAUCCCAUUAUAAGUUGUAAGGAGCUUUUAAUCUCUCCCAAGAGGAAAAGGUAAUGGAUAGACAAUCAUUAGUUCCUGUGUCAGCUUUUUGUGUAUAUCUUGGUUUUAUUGGGCAAAUUAUUCUCCCUAACUGUCAUUCUUUCACGGUAUUUUAAUAGUAUUGGUACCAUUUUGUUGCUAUUAUUUCUGUUUUCAACGUUUCAACAUUUUUGACUUAGAGGUCUAAGUAAAAUCAAAUUUUGUGAUAUGUAGAAACCAUUUGUUUUAACCAUUUCAUGAUCCCUAUUAUUUUUAGGAAUAAAUUGACUUUAUUUCAAUGCGAAUAUGUUUUGGUGCCACAUUCGUCAUUCCCAACUAUCCUUACAUUCAUGCCAUUAAUGUCACAGAUUCAUAUAAAGCCAAUAUAGUAUAUCGUACAAUAGUCAACCCAAAGUUUGAUAUGCAUAACUUAUAAACAAUCUGGAUGGGUCUGCUGGAAGAGACAGCUAGCUUCUACCAAACUGGAUCUCUUUGUAAUGCAGUUGGCUUUAAUUAUGGCAGGAAUAUCCCCCAGUGUAACAAUGUUGUGUAUCUCAUGCUUUUAGCUUUCUGACCUGUUAGCUUUCCCCACAUUUGGAUUUCAGGCUGCUUCACGGUGGCCCUCUUAUUCCCACAUGUUUAUAUAUAGAUUGUGUUUGCAUCUCAUGUCUCUUCCAUCUAAGAAAUGAGCAAGAAAAACUCUUCUGGAAGUUCCUUGCAUAGGGUACAACUAUUGAGAAAAAAAAACUUCCUGGGCUCAGAUUGACAACAGGGAUAUAUGGACAAAUAGGGGUUUCUACCAAUUUUUGUACUAAAUGGAAGGCUCCUAAUAAGAGGUCCUUGCCCUUCUGAUAUCUCUAUUUCCAGAGUUUGGAAAUGAAAAUAUAUAUACAGCUUCAUACACACAAAAGAGAAAUAACAAGUUUGGGGACCAAUUACAAUCUCCAAUAGGUGUGGAGGUGUCAUUAAAAGACAUAAAGUAUAGGAUAGAGAUUCUGUGUUCCUCCAAAAGAUGAACCUAAAAUUUCUCAAUAUUGGUCAUGUUGGCUGAAACUGCUGGAAGUUGAAGUCCAGCAAUCCCUGAAAGGCUGAAGCUUCCUCACCCUUGCUUUCAAAGUUAAAAAUUCCCCCUAGUGUCAACAUAAUGGAAGACAUGGUGCUCCUCAAAAAUUGCAUUUCUACUUGCUUCAAAUGGAUGUACAGUACACAAAAAGGCAAAACCUACCUAGCAGUACUGUUACAACUACAAAACCUCUCUCUGCAACUGUAACAAACCAUGUGUGUGUCAAACACGAGGAACCUGUCAAUCAUCUGGUAGUAAUUUUAUAAUAUAUCUGUAAUUAGGUGAAUACAUUUAAUUAUUGCUGCAUUGACUUUGAGGAGUCCCUUUAUGUUAUACUACUCAUGAUCCAUCGCUAGAGCCUGAAAACAAACCUUGCUGCAUUGAUUUCAAAACACAUUGAGCCCUUAAGUGCCUAUUUUGUAGGAAAUAUGCUUCCAUUUUAAAAGAAAUGUAUUCAGACUUAGACCUAUUGUGGAUUUAGGUUUAUUUGAUUUUUUUUGAUCAUCAACUCUAGCAUCUGUUAUAUAACUAAUCUAAAUUUUGUAAACAGGGUUCCGGGAAAUGUGUGCAAACAUAUUUUAAUAAAGACAAGUGAGAUUUACACAUAUUCAUUUGUGUGUGGGUACUAUUAAUCUUGGUCUAAUUUCUUUUAAGCAAAUGCUCAAAUAAACUUGGGAUAUUUUAUUGUUGUGGGGAAUGGCAUGGAUGGGCUACAAACAUUUAAAACAGGCUGGAAGCCAAUGUGAUCCUCAACAGAAAUAUGCAAACUAAAAGAUGGAACCCAGUUUCAGAAGUAUACUUAUAAACAAGAUUGAAGACAACUGGUGGUAAAGAUUGGAAGUCAAUAUCCUUACAUACCCUACCUUUACUUCCCCCUUUUUUCUCCUCUCUCUUCUUUUCUUUUCCCUUCCCUUUCUUUUCCUUUUCCAAUUGUCCGGCUUAUUCGAGCCAACAUUUUAUUUUAUAUAAAUACAAUUUCCC